GAUCAUUGUGAACAGGAGCCAGCCUUGAAGAAAUGUUUUGACUGUUAAUUAUUAUAUUGCAUAGAGUGUGUAUCAAUUAUCCAUUCAAAGGGAAAGUUGCAGAUUCAUAAAAUUAAAGAUAUUUCAUGUGAGAAAAUUGACAUAUGUCAACAGCGCAAUAAACAGAAUGCUGAAUUAGAAUGUGAAGAUUGUGAACUUGGUUACUGUCUGGCUUGUUCUGAUAAUUUCCACAGGAAGGGUGCAUUAAAAAACCACACACUCAAGCGUAAAUCAGAGAAAAAUAUCAUUAAAAGGGGCAGCUACUUGG